ACUGAGCACUCUCCAACGUGCUAGUGCUGGGUUGUCCCAGCAACCCUGUGAGAGAGGAAGCACGAUGAAUAAUAAACUCCUUUUCUACAGAAGACGAAACAGAGGCCUAAGCCUUGGACGGGAAUCAAAGAACACACUCUUCUAGAGACUCCUCCUCUUCAUCAUCAUCAGAGUACUUUUUCUUUGGGGUCUUUCUCCGCAAACGCCUGCUUUGCCUCAUUGGCCGGGAAGGAUGUCGCCUCAGUCUUCGGCUACAGAAAUCAGUGUCGCUGUCAUCAUUAGACGGUUGCUGUCACUGUCCAGGUCAUUCAGGCGCCGGCGUUUCUUCCGGCGUGCAGCAGCUGCCCUCUGGGGCCGUUU